rnacentral:rRNA from 1 species
GACAGAGGUGCCGAGCGUUAGGCGGAAUCACUGGGCUUAAAGCGUGUGUAGGCGGACUUCUAAGUACCUUGUGAAAUCCCACGGCUCAACCGUGGAACUGCUCGGUAUACUGGUCGUCUUGAGCCACCUAGGGGCGAGCGGAACAAGCGGUGGAGCGGUGAAAUGCGUAGAUAUCGCUUGGAACGCCAACGGUGAAAACAGCUCGCUGGGGGUGUGCUGACGCUGAGACACGAAAGCCAGGGGAGCGAACGGG